rnacentral:rRNA from 1 species
AGAGUUUGAUCCUGGCUCAGGACGAACGCUGGCGGCGUGCUUAACACAUGCAAGUCGAACGAGAAUCUACUGAAAGAGUUUUCGGACAAUGGAUGUAGAGGAAAGUGGCGGACGGGUGAGUAACGCGUGAGGAACCUGCCUUGAAGAGGGGGACAACAGUUGGAAACGACUGCUAAUACCGCAUGAUGCAUAGGGAUCGCAUGAUCCUUAUGCCAAAGAUUUAUCGCUUCAAGAUGGCCUCGCGUCUGAUUAGCUGGUUGGCGGGGUAACGGCCCACCAAGGCGACGAUCAGUAGCCGGACUGAGAGGUUGAACGGCCACAUUGGGACUGAGAUACGGCCCAGACUCCUACGGGAGGCAGCAGUGGGGAAUAUUGGGCAAUGGGCGCAAGCCUGACCCAGCAACGCCGCGUGAAGGAAGAAGGCUUUCGGGUUGUAAACUUCUUUUAAGAGGGAAGAGCAGAAGACGGUACCUCUUGAAUAAGCCACGGCUAACUACGUGCCAGCAGCCGCGGUAAUACGUAGGUGGCAAGCGUUGUCCGGAUUUACUGGGUGUAAAGGGCGUGCAGCCGGGUCUGCAAGUCAGAUGUGAAAUCCAUGGGCUCAACCCAUGAACUGCAUUUGAAACUGUAGAUCUUGAGUGUCGGAGGGGCAAUCGGAAUUCCUAGUGUAGCGGUGAAAUGCGUAGAUAUUAGGAGGAACACCAGUGGCGAAGGCGGAUUGCUGGACGAUAACUGACGGUGAGGCGCGAAAGUGUGGGGAGCAAACAGGAUUAGAUACCCUGGUAGUCCACACUGUAAACGAUGAAUACUAGGUGUGCGGGGACUGACCCCCUGCGUGCCGCAGUAAACACAAUAAGUAUUCCACCUGGGGAGUACGAUCGCAAGGUUGAAACUCAAAGGAAUUGACGGGGGCCCGCACAAGCGGUGGAUUAUGUGGUUUAAUUCGAAGCAACGCGAAGAACCUUACCAGGUCUUGACAUCCUGCUAACGAAGUAGAGAUACAUUAGGUGCCCUUCGGGGAAAGCAGAGACAGGUGGUGCAUGGUUGUCGUCAGCUCGUGUCGUGAGAUGUUGGGUUAAGUCCCGCAACGAGCGCAACCC